rnacentral:rRNA from 1 species
GGCCCUAUCCGAAUCACCGUGCAGCCUGCCCAGUGAUUUUCAACGGCCUCGGUAUCCUAACCGAGCGAAGGUAGCAUAAUCACUUGUUCUUUAAAUGGGGACUCGUAUCAACGGCAUCACGAGGGUUUUACUGUCUCCUCUUUUUAAUCAGUGAAAUUGAUCUUCCCGUGAAGAAGCGGGAAUGUACCUAUAAGACGAGAAGACCCCAUGGAGCUUUAAACCAAAUAGCAACUUAACAAUACAUUUCUUAAUAGUUUUAAAGAGCCCUGCUAUGAGGUUUUGGGUUGGGGUGACCGCGGAGUAUAACAUAUCCUCCAUGACGAAAAGGCCACAAUCUUUAUUCAUGACCUACAGAUCUAAAAAUUAGCAUACUAACGUACACUGAUCCGAUAAUCGAUCAACGGAACAAGUUACCCUGGGGAUAACAGCGCAAUCUACUUCAAGAGCUCAUAUCGACGAGUAGGCUUACGACCUCGAUGUUGGAUCAGGGUAUCCCGGUGGUGCAGCCGCUACCGAAGGUUCGUUUGUUCAACGAUUAAAAACCCCUACGUGAUCUGAGUUUCAGAACAGAGAA